AUUGCUUGUUCGAGCCGUGGCAGCAUCGACUGUCUAUGGGUGGAAACCGUUAUUCCGGCAACAGAACAAACAGAUGUAAUGGCAUACGAGAUGGAUUUUUAACACUCUGCUGAAGGUGAAUAAGUGUGCUUGUGAAACUGUUGAAUAAAGGAACCGUCAGUUUUUGAGAUGAUCUAUUCAAUGAGGAUUCUACAUAAACCAAACCGUAUAACCCAUCUGAUAUAUUCUUCAGAGCCACCCCAACCAAUAACAAUAAUAAUAAUCAUUAGAGUAGUACCACUACUCUCAUAAUAAUUGAAACUCACGUGUGAAACUUUAUUUGUAGUCGUCUAACUUUCCCUAAACUAACUAGUUAUUAUUAAGACCCGUGGAUUUAUGGCCUGGCUACAAAGAAAAUCUGUCAAGUUUGCAUCAGUAUGGCAAAAUACAUUGCCAAGUACUUCCACUUAGUUGGUAUCGCAUGUUCUGUUAACUGCAGUUAUUUUCAGCAUCAUGUAACAUUAACCAGAGCUGGUAAUGAUGUGUGAGUCCCAUUCCAAUAACCACUGAUGACCACUAAUUAGACUCUGAAUAGAUGUUUCACUGCCUCUUCUCUUUUAUUUUUUGUUUUCAUUUGACUUGUUGCUGAUUCUACUUUGUGUCUUUUAUCUCUUUUUAGCUUUUUCUGAGUUUUAUGUCCUCUGCUCCAUUUCCACUGAGCUGCAACAGGCUCUCUCAGUAUGUUGUGUGCCUGCAAAUUUGCAUUGCAUGACAUGGACAUGCAUAACCGCUGUAGAGGAACUUCACAGAACAGAGUCUGGACAAAGAAUCUCUGGUUGUGUUCCAUGCUCCACACAGUACAGUUACAGGGAGACAACAGGCAGCAAUAAUCAGAUACAGGCAGGAAUAAUCGAAUACAGCUCAGUAACUGAGUGCACAACUUUAGAGACUUGGUAAAACUGGUGAAGAUGAAGGAGGAGUGAAUACUUGUGCAUAAAUGAGUUUGGGAAUGAGGCACAGGUGAUGUAAAUUAAGGGUGUGAGCUGGGGUAGGGCAGAUGAGUAAUAGAACAGAAAAGUAGAGCACAGGAGUGAGAC